UACGUAGGGGGCAAGCGUUGUCCGGAAUCAUUGGGCGUAAAGCGCGUGUAGGCGGCCCGGUAAGUCCGCUGUAAAAGUCCAGGGCUCAACCCUGGAAAGCCGGUGGAUACUGUCGGGCUCGAGUCCGGAAGAGGCGAGUGGAAUUCCUGGUGUAGCGGUGAAAUGCGCAGAUAUCAGGAGGAACACCAAUGGCGAAGGCAGCUCGCUGGGACGGUACUGACGCUAAGGCGCGAAAGCGUGGGGAGCAAACAGG
rnacentral:rRNA from 1 species